GGUUCGGCGGCUGGGGCGGGGCCGGCUGCUCGAACCGGGCGGGCUCGGGGCGGCGGUACGGGUCCGCCUCGGUGCGC
rnacentral:tRNA from 1 species